ACAUAAACAAUGCCUUUUAAAUAGUACUUUCAACCUAUUAUUGUGUCUCUCAUCGAUUUCUUUCCGUUUCCGUGGAAAAAGAUAAGAAUUAUCUAAGGUGAAUGCAUACUUUUCGUACUCAAUAGUAAUAACAAAAGUGAAAUUUUGUUUUUCUAGUGUAAUAAGUAUACUUAGAAGGAUGAGUAUUAAAGUCCAAUUGGAGUAAAAGGAAGGCAAUAAUCUAGUAAUUUAGAUCAAAUACUUCUACUCCCACUCCGAUAUUCUUGCAAGCUUUUCCUGGAUUCUUCCUGAAACGUAUCUUGUCAAUAAUAUCUUUUUUUAAAUAUUAAUCUCUCGUUGGAAUGUAGAGUUACUGAUAAAUUUAAAAGCUGAUAAACAUUCAAUCGAAGAUUACAAGUCAGAGAAGUAAAUAAUCGUCCCUCGUUAAAUGAAAUUCAUCGAAAGCGAUGAAUCAACGAAACGCCGGGCACGCGAAUUCCAGUCUCAUGUAACAACAACAUACACGCAAACGCGCGGGCAUAAUUAAAAAAGUUCAAAUCUGUAACAAACAUUUUUCGUAGAAAGCCUGAUAAAAGAAUAAUUUCUGAAAAUCACUCUGUACCAUUGCUGCAGUUCAUGAAUUUUUAUGUCUCAAUCUCAUUCUCGUUUUAACAAGACUUAAUAUUCUAAGAAAAGUUGUUGCACAGGACUCAAACAAAAGGCUAUGCAUAUCAAUACAACAAUAAUAUACCUCUGUAUCCUCUUCAAGCAUGAGAAAUUAAAAAAAGAAAGAAAUUGGGCCAAAAAGGACAAAGACCAAAGUUAAUAGAAAGUAGACGACCGGUAAUGAUUUUAGUAAUUUUCUUACCAACUUUAUACAUUCUAAGAAAAUUUUUAAUGUAAAAUAAAAAUGAGAAAACAUGCAUAUCAGUGCCGCAAUAAUAUACUUCUGUAUGUUUUUCAAACUUGAGAAGUUAGAAAAAAUUGUAAUUGUGCCGAAAACUGGACUAGAAGAACAAAAAGCAGGAUUAAUAGAAAGUAGACGGUAAAUCGGUAACGAUUUUUAUAAUUUUUUUACCGACUGAGCAUAAUGAAACGUACCCCUCGCCUGUCCGCCCGUCUUGAGGCAAGAAUCGAUAGAGGAAUGCGACGUAGCGUGAAGAAAAAAAAGGAACGAGCCAUGCAUUCCUCAAGGCUGACGAACAGAGGAUCAAACAUCCGGCACGACGUCCGCUGGCACGUCGAGCCAACGCACAGUACGUAUUUUCAUUGAAAACGAUGGAAAAUCUAAUGGUAUGCGGUCGAACACACAAGGAACACAGGCUCUUUGACACACGAGAGCCAGCCUCGAUUCCCCACUACUUAAACAUUACGCUGGAAUGUCUGGUAUUCGUCCGUCGAGGCGCUCUCUAGCGGGAAGAUUGCCAAAGGCACAAACGCGCGCCACGCCGACCGUAUAAAUACAGUUCAAACUCCCUCUUUUCCCUCCAACAAUUAUGCCUACAAUUUUAUAUAAUUUUUUCUUAGUAAACAAAAUUUUUGAAGGGCAAAUUCUUCUUAGAUUUCUUUUAAAGUUGAGCUUAAGUUUCAAUUAGCCUGUAAACCAAGGAUUAUUAAGGAACAACAGUACUAUAGAUGAUUUUUUUAAAUAUAUAUAGGGGACGUAGAAUAGAAUACCUGUCUUUCUUUUAGUUUUCAGGCAAUUCAAAUGUUUUAUUCAACACAUUUAGCGUUAAAAACAAAUUCAGAGGCGUAACGUCUUGUAUACUCUUCUAAUAUUUGCAUAAAAUCUGUAUAUACAAGUCAUGUGCGUAAUAAGAUAUAUCUUGUAAUGAGAUUUUGACAUAUAUUAAUGUCAAAUGUCAACAUAAUGAUAAAAAAAUUAAAAUAAAGCGAUUGCAAUUAA